AGGGAAAACAUAGUUUCUAAAAAUGCAGUAAAUUUGUAAAAGAAAACAUAACAAGAAGGAUCUGGUUAAAACCCAAAUUGUACCCUCACAAACCUGUCUAUUGAGACAGACCACCUGGCUCCAAACCACCACCUCCUGCUAAAGAAACUAUGAUCACCGAUUUAUUCACAGUCCAGACCCUGCCUCCCAGAUCAGCACUCUAUCCAGCGAUCCCAGAGACAUCAGAACCUGAGAGGAGACUGGCAGAGACAUGUGAGCCUGACCGGGAGCAACCUACAUAUCAACUGGUAAUCAAAAUCAGAUAACGGAGUUGCUGCAAUCCAGUAAAACUUUUUUGAGGUUGCUCUCGGCCCCAGAAAUACCAAACAGAGUGCUACUUGGAGGAAUGACAGAGGAGGUAGUGAGGCAUUGAAUGGUACCAAAGACUUAAG